rnacentral:tRNA from 1 species
CGGACCGUAGCUCAGCCUGGAUUAGAGCGCUACCUUGGGGUGGUAGAGGUCGCAAGUUCGAAUCUUGUCGGUCCGACCA